rnacentral:rRNA from 1 species
GAUGAACGCUGGCGGCGUGCCUAAUACAUGCAAGUCGAGCGAACAGAUGAGGAGCUUGCUCCUCUGACGUUAGCGGCGGACGGGUGAGUAACACGUGGAUAACCUACCUAUAAGACUGGGAUAACUUCGGGAAACCGGAGCUAAUACCGGAUAAUAUAUUGAACCGCAUGGUUCAAUAGUGAAAGACGGUUUUGCUGUCACUUAUCGAUGGAUCCGCGCCGCGUUAGCUAGUUGGUAAGGUAACGGCUUACCAAGGCAACGAUGCGUAGCCGACCUGAGAGGGUGAUCGGCCACACUGGAACUGAGACACGGUCCAGACGCCUACGGGAGGCAGCAGUAGGGAAUCUUCCGCAAUGGGCGAAAGCCUGACGGAGCAACGCCGCGUGAGUGAUGAAGGUCUUCGGAUCGUAAAACUCUGUUAUUAGGGAAGAACAAAUGUGUAAGUAACUAUGCACGUCUUGACGGUACCUAAUCAGAAAGCCACGGCUAACUACGUG